AAACCGGGCUAAAAAUAAUCCAGAACAUAUAUUCCAGCGUUGUUUUGUUAAAUCCCUUUCUAAAUUGCUUUAACAGCUGAUCUAUGUACAUCUACAGUCAGCCACUGUUCACAGUUUUUCUCGCAACUUCUAAUAAUGCAAAAAAAAGUACAGACAAACUGAUGAGUUUCCCGUAAAAUGGAAGCGGAAUGAAGAUUGUGGAUGUAAUAUUCCGGAAAGAGUUCGCGAAGAGAGAAAUAUGCUCAAAGGGUAAUGAGACAAAGUAACCAGACGAAUAAAAACCCAACAACAAAACAACAACGAUUAGACGGCCAAAUUGAAGAAAUAUACGGUCUUGACAUUGAACUGAUGAUAUCCAACCAUAAGUACCGAUGAAAACCAAACGAUGUGUGCAGAUGCGAAGAACUCCACGGCUGGCAGCGAAGGUCAUUAAAAAGGCACCCAAAAUGUACGUUUUGGAGGCGAUCAUAUGGGCGAAGGUCAUAUGGACUCGUUUAUUUUAUGACCGUAGGAAGAUUGGAUGACGAUCUAUUUCAACAGGCUUUCGAGGGACGUUAUCGUUUGCGUUGCUGCUGUAAACACCAAAUUAAUUUCCUUUAUAGUCCUUUCAGCUUAAACAUCUUGGAAUAAAAUGCAAAUUAUCUCAUCUACUUUAAAUUUUAAAUAGUCCUCUUUAUUAAAAUUAGUUCGCUUUGCUCAGCUAGAAGAGAUUUGUAAAUAGUUAGUGAUUUAAAAAUUCCCCAAAAUCUAUAAAAACUUGGUAAUACAAAGUAUUGUGUGUACAGUUGAAUGUGAUUUGUAAAGAGUUAUUUAGAAAUUUAAGAAAUUUUAGAAGAGAUUGGAUAUGAAAAUUCAAAUUUUCCCUAUGGGAGAACUUUAAAUCGCUUUACAAAUAUAAAUUGAGUAACAAGACACACGCAAAAAAUUCCCGGUUAUUUUAGUAUAUUUUGCAAUCAUUAAGUAAGGCAAUUGGUUAGUCGAGGAUCUACGAAAAUUGCCUUCAAAGGGUCUCACUCGACAUCUUAUCGAAAGCCUGUGCUACAUCAAGGAAGACCGAACAAUCAACUUGUUUGUCAAGAGAUUUACAUUUGUAUCUCUGUUCUUGCGCUUCUAGCUUCAUACUGCAGUAAUAUUUACAAACUCGAAAAUAAAACUAUAUUUUUCUA